rnacentral:rRNA from 1 species
GACGAACGCUGGCGGCGUGCUUGACACAUGCAAGUCGAACGGAAAGGCCUGCUUUCCCUUGUGGAUUGCGGGUACUCGAGUGGCGAACGGGUGAGUAACACGUGAGUGAUCUGCCCCCAACUUGGGUAUAAGCCUGGGAAACUGGGUCUAAUUCCCGAUAGGACUGCAGGGUGGUGCCUGUGGUGGAAAACGAUUUUCUAGUGGUUGGGGAUGAGCUCGCGGCCUGUCAGCUUGUUGGUGGGGUAAUGGCCUACCAAGGCGGCGACGGGUAGCCGGCCUGAGAGGGUGGACGGCCACAUUGGGACUGAGAUACGGCCCAGACUCCUACGGGAGGCAGCAGUGGGGAAUAUUGCACAAUGGGCGGAAGCCUGAUGCAGCGACGCCGCGUGGGGGAUGACGGCCUUCGGGUUGUAAACUCCUUUCGACCGCGAGGAAGCCACCUGGUUGGAAGGGUGGUGACGGUAGUGGUAGAAGAAGCACCGGCUAACUACGUG